AGGUAAGCUACUAAGAGCGAAUGGUGGAUGCCUUGACUGGUAAAGGCGAUGAAGGACGUACUAGACUGCGAUAAGCUACGGGGAGCUGUCAAGAAGCUUUGAUCCGUAGAUUUCCGAAUGGGGCAACCCAAUGUAUAGAGAUAUACAUUACCUAUAUAGGAGCGAACGAGGGGAAUUGAAACAUCUUAGUACCCUCAGGAAAAGAAAUCAAUAGAGAUUGCGUCAGUAGCGGCGAGCGAAAGCGCAAGAGGGCAAACCCAGUGCUUGCACUGGGGGUUGUAGGACUGCAAUGUGCAAGAGGUAAGUUUAGCAGAACAUUCUGGAAAGUAUAACCAUAGAGGGUGAUAGUCCCGUAUGCGAAAAACAAACCUUAGCUAGCAGUAUCCUGAGUAGGGCGGGACACGAGGAAUCCUGUCUGAAUCCGGGUCGACCACGAUCCAACCCUAAAUACUAAUACCAGAUCGAUAGUGCACAAGUACCGUGAGGGAAAGGUGAAAAGAACUGAGGUGAUCAGAGUGAAAUAGAACCUGAAACCAUUUGCUUACAAUCAUUCAGAGCCCUAUGUAGCAAUACAGGGUGAUGGACUGCCUUUUGCAUAAUGAGCCUGCGAGUUGUGGUGUCUGGCAAGGUUAAGCAAACGCGAAGCCGUAGCGAAAGCGAGUCUGAAUAGGGCGCUUAGUCAGAUGCUGCAGACCCGAAACGAAGUGAUCUAUCCAUGAGCAAGUUGAAGCUAGUGUAAGAACUAGUGGAGGACUGAACCCAUAGGCGUUGAAAAGCCCCGGGAUGACUUGUGGAUAGGGGUGAAAGGCCAAUCAAACUUCGUGAUAGCUGGUUCUCUCCGAAAUAUAUUUAGGUAUAGCGUUGUGUCGUAAUAUAAGGGGGUAGAGCACUGAAUGGGCUAGGGCAUACACCAAUGUACCAAACCCUAUCAAACUCCGAAUACCUUAUAUGUAAUCACAGCAGUCAGGCGGCGAGUGAUAAAAUCCGUCGUCAAGAGGGAAACAACCCAGACUACCAGCUAAGGUCCCUAAGUCUUACUUAAGUGGAAAACGAUGUGAAGUUACUUAAACAACCAGGAGGUUGGCUUAGAAGCAGCCAUCCUUUAAAGAAAGCGUAAUAGCUCACUGGUCUAGUGAUUUUGCGCGGAAAAUAUAACGGGGCUAAAGUAAGUACCGAAGCUGUAGACUUAGUUUACUAAGUGGUAGGAGAGCGUUCUAUUUGCGUCGAAGGUAUACCGGUAAGGAGUGCUGGAGCGAAUAGAAGUGAGCAUGCAGGCAUGAGUAGCGAUAAUUAAUGUGAGAAUCAUUAACGCCGUAAACCCAAGGUUUCCUACGCGAUGCUCGUCAUCGUAGGGUUAGUCGGGUCCUAAGUCGAGUCCGAAAGGGGUAGACGAUGGCAAAUUGGUUAAUAUUCCAAUACCAACAUUAGUGUGCGAUGGAAGGACGCUUAGGGCUAAGGGGGCUAGCGGAUGGAAGUGCUAGUCUAAGGUCGUAGGAGGUUAUAUAGGCAAAUCCGUAUAACAAUACUCCGAGAACUGAAAGGCUUUUUGAAGUCUUCGGAUGGAUAGAAGAACCCCUGAUGCCGUCGAGCCAAGAAAAGUUUCUAAGUUUAGCUAAUGUUGCCCGUACCGUAAACCGACACAGGUGGGUGGGAUGAGUAUUCUAAGGCGCGUGGAAGAACUCUCUUUAAGGAACUCUGCAAAAUAGCACCGUAUCUUCGGUAUAAGGUGUGGUUAGCUUUGUAUUAGGAUUUACUCCGAAAGCAAGGAAACUUACAACAAAGAGUCCCUCCCGACUGUUUACCAAAAACACAGCACUCUGCUAACUCGUAAGAGGAUGUAUAGGGUGUGACGCCUGCCCGGUGCUCGAAGGUUAAUUGAUGGGGUUAGCAUUAGCGAAGCUCUUGAUCGAAGCCCGAGUAAACGGCGGCCGUAACUAUAACGGUCCUAAGGUAGCGAAAUUCCUUGUCGGUUAAAUACCGACCUGCAUGAAUGGCGUAACGAGAUGGGAGCUGUCUCAAAGAGGGAUCCAGUGAAAUUGU
rnacentral:rRNA from 1 species